GUGUCAGCCGCCGCGGUAAUACGAAGGGGGCUAGCGUUGCUCGGAAUCACUGGGCGUAAAGGGUGCGUAGGCGGGUUUUUAAGUCAGGGGUGAAAUCCUGGAGCUCAACUCCAGAACUGCCUUUGAUACUGAAGAUCUUGAGUCCGGGAGAGGUGAGUGGAACUGCGAGUGUAGAGGUGAAAUUCGUAGAUAUUCGCAAGAACACCAGUGGCGAAGGCGGCUCACUGGCCCGGUACUGACGCUGAGGCACGAAAGCGUGGGGAGCAAACAGGAUUAGAUACCCGGGUAGUCC
rnacentral:rRNA from 1 species